UCCGUGCAGGAUGUCAGGAUCCAGGCUACACCUGAGUGGAGGUCCCCAGGAGGAGCCUGGCAAGAUGAAUCAAGUUUCCUGCUGCUGUUGACAUCUUGAGCCUCAAAGAGUUAUCUAUCCUGUUUGGACUGGAAUGAUAUUUGGCAUGACUUCAAUAUUCCUGGAGUUGCUGGGUUUGACUUCAUAGUAUUCUCAGAGUUGGGACUUGCUCUGUGGCCUUACAUAUGCUGCAUCCUGGAGAACCAGACUGCUCUUACAGAGUUCACCAAAAUUUGAUUGAAGGU